GGCGGGCCCUGGGCGGGUAGGGUGGACACACCGGCCGGUAUAAGGCGGGCGCCCGGUCGGCUACACAGCGCAUCACCUCGACCGCUCCGUCUGCGCUUCGCUGCGGCCCCGGGUGAGUUCUCGCCAGCGCGGCCCGGCGCCCCCGCCUUCGCCCAGCCGCCGCCUGCCCCCGGGGGGCUGCUGCGGACUCUGCGGGCGGCGCCGGGAUCCCGCUGCGGCGUCUGCGAGCCCCUGGGCCGGCGGGAGGGUCGGGAGCGGCGGGCCAGCCCCGGGCUGGGCGUGCGGCGGGGCGGCUCCCCGCGCUCUGCUGGGGCGCGGGAGGGUGUGGCCUGGGUGUGUCAACGCCGCAGCUGUGGUCUUGUGAGGCUGUGUGUGGGGCUGGUUGUGCUGCCUCCACCUCCCCGCCCCCCAUCCUCCCCAACUUCUCCUGGAACCCCUGGAGUUCUCAGCUGUGGCCCUAUUUGCUCUUUAGGAUCCUUGCACCACCUCUCCUCGUGUCCCCCUCAGGCCGCUGAUCUCCUGAACCUAGAGUUUGCCCACUCGCUCCCCUUCAAGCCCUGGGUUGUCUCCUGAGGCCACCUCUCUGAGUCCAGCCUUCAGCCAUGGCGUGCCCCCUGGAUCAGGCCAUCAGCCUCCUCGUGGCUAUCUUCCACAAGUACUCCAGCAGGGAGGGCGACAAGAACACCUUGAGCAAGGGUGAGCUGAAGGAGCUGAUCCAGAAGGAGCUCACCAUUGGCGCUGAGCUGGAGGACUCGGAAAUUGCAAAGCUGUUGGAUGACCUGGACCAGAACAAGGACCAGGUGGUGAACUUCCAGGAAUAUGUCACCUUCCUUGGGGCUUUGGCUAUGAUAUACAAUGAAGUCCUCAAGGCCUGCAGUUAAGUUGGCAAAGUGGAGACACACUCUAGUGGGCUUGUCUGAGUCAAAUCCAGUGGUUGUUAAUUGUACAAUAAAUAUUCUUUUUGGUCGAAUCUACCCCUGUGUCCUGG
rnacentral:lncRNA from 1 species